rnacentral:misc_RNA from 1 species
UACCCCCUCGCCCUCCCCAUCUCCUUUGUUUGUGGAGGACGGAUCUGACCUUCCCGGCUCCGCCCGUCACUCGUGAUUGGCGCCGGGUUGGUUGAAGCAUAGAGGUAUGAGCAUGGACCCCGUUUGUAGGGUAAUGGCUUGGUAGGUAGGCAUUCCCUACGCAUCCGGCCGUUGCCCGAGGGGACUUUGCUGGAGACCUAGCAGGAAUUCGGGUGCUCGGGCCACCCCGACCCCGAAACUCUUCA